rnacentral:rRNA from 1 species
GACGGGGGGGGGCAAGUGUUCUUCGGAAUUAUUGGGCGUAAAGAGCUCGUAGGCGGCUUGUCGCGUCGGCUGUGAAAUCCCGUGGCUCAACUGCGGGUCUGCAGCCGAUACGGGCAGGCUAGAGUUCGGUAGGGGAGACUGGAAUUCCUGGAUGUAGCGGUGAAAUGCGCAGAUAUCAGGAGGAACACCGAUGGCGAAGGCAGCUCGCUGGGACGGUACUGACGCUGAGACGCGAAAGCGUGGGGAGCAAACAGG